rnacentral:lncRNA from 1 species
UGUCAUGCAUGCUAUAUAAACUCAAAUCGAAACCUAAGUCUAAUGCCACAAUUUAAAAUAAAAUAAUACAGUCUUUGAAUAAAAUAAGAUAUCAAAUAAUAACUUAAAAAUAUUUUAGUAAAUAAAAUCAAUUCGAGACGAGCCCUUCGUAAGUCGAGUCCGCGCCCUAACCUGGUGGGUUAUCUGUAAAGAUGAAAAUUAUAAGGGAAGUGAGCUAUGAAGCUCAGUGUGAGUUCGUUCACAAGAAAACCGAAAUAAAAUAGUAGACAAAGCACAUGAGUUAACAAUUCUAAGAAUAACCACAAUCACAAAGCACUUCAAAUUAAUGGUUUUUCAUGUCAUUACUUCACUGCACUAUUUCAGAAAUCACAAUUUUAUAUGCAUAUGCUAAUGAAUGCAAUGCAAUUUCAAAUUAACAGAAAAGUCCUACCCAACUCCACUGCACACCUCACUUAUGAGUUCCCUAGAACUCAUCUACCAUAUCACUCUGGAUUGUGAGCAAGCAACCACUAAUUUGCAAAUAAAUUGCCACUUUGUAUAUAAAAAAAAAGUGGGUAAACCACUAGUAUUUUAGAUAAAAAAACGUUUAUAGUUACUGCCACUUGUUGCGAGUGCACAACAUGGUUGCAAAUUAAACAAACUGCCAUUGGGUUCGUGGGUGAGCCACAUAUUUCCAGUUACUGCCACUUGUUGUGAGUGCACAACAUAUUCAUAGAUUAAACAAACUGCCAUUGGGUUUUGUGAAGGAGCCACCAUUAUUGUUUUUAGAUUUAAUAAACUGUCACUCUUCCUCCGUACAAUGUCCCACCCCAUGCAAUGCAUUAUGUCAUGCUAUGUAACAAAUUAAUACUAGUAGCAGACAUGUAACAUGUACCAAAUUCAUCACUAACACUUAACAUAUUUAAAUCGGGAGAAAAUGUUUAAAGCUUGGUGGUGAGUUUUGCUUUAUUGUAAUCUUAGGUCUGUUAGCGAUCGAAUGUGUUUUAUUUUAGUAUGUUGUUGUUAAACUUUUGUUGCUGUUUUCACAAUCCCAAUCCCACAAACAAAUAAGAACCAAGUUGAUUGCUUAAUUUUGAAUCUGGAUUCUUUUAGGGUUUGAAGAAAUAUUUUAUAAAAAUACACAAAUUUAUAUUCGAUUCUUAUCUGAAAAAGAAAAAUUUAUCAAGUUAAAUUAUGCUAUUUCCAAAAUUUUAUAUGGCAAACAUGUAAUCCCAUGUUUAAUGCAUGUAAACUAGCACUACCAUUUGAGUCAAGAUUAAAAUCUUCAAAUUUAAAAAAUAUAAAAAUUAAAAAUGAUCAAAUUAAACAAAAGUGACUAAAUUAAUACUGAACUAAUAGUAGAAUAUUUUGACCUAACAGAUUUAACUACUGUUGAUGCAUAAUUUAUAGAAUAACAACAAUACUUGAAAGAAAAAGAAAUAUACUGUUAUGAAUCCAAAUCUUAGCUAGCUUAGAUGGUUUAAACAACUACCCUGAAAAGGGUGGCAUUCAUUGAGUUUAAAACUUAAAAGUUCAAACAUCUACAACAUUUGCAACACCCUCUUUUAUCCCUAUGAAAAUAUGGGGAAGGUGAGAUUGGAGACAAGUUGAUGACUUUUUCUGGGUAAUGAAUCUAGGUUCUCCCUUACGCUCUUGAAGACAUAUUUUCACAAGGAAAAUAUGAAAAAAUGGAGCAAGAGAGAAACUAGAUUCAUUGCCCAGUAAAAGUUCAUAGAUCAGAGGUUGAGAAAAAAUAUAAAAGAAGGAAGGAAAAGGGAAACUAAUAGGCUAUUAUUUGGCAAUGCCCAUAUAUUUCUCUUCUAGGCUUUAGGAGGGUGAAUAUGAGGAGAGGCAAGCAGCUAUAUUUAUAGGCUUCAAAAUUUUAUAUAUAUUUAUAU